rnacentral:rRNA from 1 species
UACGGGGGGGCAAGCGUUGUUCGGAAUUACUGGGCGUAAAGGGCUCGUAGGCGGCCAACUAAGUCAGACGUGAAAUCCCUCGGCUUAACCGGGGAACUGCAUCUGAUACUGGAUGGCUUGAGUUCGGGAGAGGGAUGCGGAAUUCCAGGUGUAGCGGUGAAAUGCGUAGAUAUCUGGAGGAACACCGGUGGCGAAGGCGGCAUCCUGGACCGGCACUGACGCUGAGGAGCGAAAGCCAGGG